AUUGAACGCUGGCGGCAUGCCUUACACAUGCAAGUCGAACGGCAGCACGGGAGCAAUCCUGGUGGCGAGUGGCGAACGGGUGAGUAAUACAUCGGAACGUGCCCAAUCGUGGGGGAUAACGUAGCGAAAGCUACGCUAAUACCGCAUACGAUCUACGGAUGAAAGCGGGGGAUCGCAAGACCUCGCGCGAAUGGAGCGGCCGAUGGCAGAUUAGGUAGUUGGUGAGGUAAAGGCUCACCAAGCCUGCGAUCUGUAGCUGGUCUGAGAGGACGACCAGCCACACUGGGACUGAGACACGGCCCAGACUCCUACGGGAGGCAGCAGUGGGGAAUUUUGGACAAUGGGCGCAAGCCUGAUCCAGCAAUGCCGCGUGCAGGAUGAAGGCCUUCGGGUUGUAAACUGCUUUUGUACGGAACGAAACGGUCCUUUCUAAUACAAAGGGCUAAUGACGGUACCGUAAGAAUAAGCACCGGCUAACUACGUGCCAGCAGCCGCAGUAACAC
rnacentral:rRNA from 1 species